AAUUACUACCUUAGUCAAAAUUCCGUCCAAUUACUCACUAAUCAUAUCCUAAUCAACCGUUAAUCAUAUUGUAAUUAUUCUAAUUAAUUAAUAAAUCUUAAAAGAGAAACAAAAAAAAAAAAUCAAAACUAAUUCGGUUAGAAAUACGAAAUACCAAAAAAAAUGAAGAAAAAUCAAUUAAAAAAAAUGAAAACGUAAUUAAUUAAAACUCAGCAAUAUUGUUGCUCUCCCUGCCAUUGUUUCUACUGCCAUUGUUAUCGUUUUUCUAUUGUUCUUCAUCCCAAAAACACGAAAUUUGCUAAUUUACAUGUUGAUUUUCGGUUGCUCGUCUUUCUCGCACCUCUCUUCGCAGGUUUUUCUGCUCAUCUCUCCCCUCUUCUAUUUAAUUUUCGCGGUCUUGCAUUACGAUUCUUGCUACUUCUUCUUCUCUAACGAGCGAAAUUAUAUUCUUGCUCUUUCUACCAAGCGCAAAAGUCGAUGGUACAAGGAGGGUGAUCGAUUCAACAAAUUAUACGGAGUAGUAGUUAUUAUAAUAAAUGGUAAUUGUAAUUUCAAUUACCUUAAUAAUUUUUACAUAAAAAAAUCUUUUUGGGUGCAAGCACGAAAGGAAUUUGUAAUAGUUAUGAUAAUUAUGAUUAAGUGUAAUAGAGUUCUAUUUGCAUUAAACCUAUAUAUUUUUUUCCAGUUACAAAUUA